rnacentral:rRNA from 1 species
UGGGGAAUAUUGGGCAAUGGGCGCAAGCCUGACCCAGCAACGCCGCGUGAAGGAAGAAGGCUUUCGGGUUGUAAACUUCUUUUCUUGGGGACGAAGAAAGUGACGGUACCCAAGGAAUAAGCCACGGCUAACUACGUGCCAGCAGCCGCGGUAAUACGUAGGUGGCAAGCGUUAUCCGGAUUUAUUGGGUGUAAAGGGCGUGUAGGCGGGAAUGCAAGUCAGAUGUGAAAACUAUGGGCUCAACCCCAUAGCCUGCAUUUUGAAAACCUGUAUUUCUUGAGUGCUGGAGAGGCAAUCGGAAUUCCGUGUGUAGCGGUGAAAUGCGUAGAUAUACGGAGGAACACCAGUGGCGAAGGCGGAUUGCUGGACAGUAACUGACGCUGAGGCGCGAAAGCGUGGGGAGCAAACAGGAUUAGAUACCC